AGCUCAACUGGAAAGAGCGGAGGGUUUCUACCCCUCAGGUUGCGGGUUCGAGUCCUGUC
rnacentral:tRNA from 1 species